rnacentral:lncRNA from 1 species
GAGUCACUCUUAACAAGACAGGAGAAAGCAGUUUCCUGCUUUCACGCCUUCCCUUUUUUCUUUUCUCUCUUCCUUCCUUCUUCCGUUCCUCUUCCUUCCCUCCCUCUUGACCUUCCUCUCUCCCUCCCUUCUUUCCUUCCUUCCUGUGGCUCUCCUUUGUGAGUGACCUACCUCCGCUUCCUACUCUGUGACUUUGCACAUUCAAUCAUUGCCUGGCUCCACCAGCAGUAUAUAAGGUGAAAGAGGAUCCUGCCAGCUGUUCUAGGCCCAGAGGACACCUCUCUCUCUCUCUCUGUCACUCACACACACACACACACACACACACACUCUCUCUCUCUCUCUCACACACACCCACUUAUUGAUGGGGUAAUAGGAUCAAGAGGUAGCUUUGCAUCAUCAAAAAGAAGUCAGUCAUUCUAGCCUGGAGCUUUAGAAGACGAAGUAAAAAAGAAGUCAGACAGUCCUAGCUUUGAAUCCUGGCCCAGCCACUUACUAGGUGGGAGACCUUGGACUCUGGUGCUUCCCCGAGUGGCCCCCUGUGGUGUGGCAUGUCCGCUUCUCUUGGCAUCUAUCCCACAAAUUAGUGAGAACAUGCAACUCUUGUCUUUCGGUGCCUGGCUUAUUUCACCUGACAUAAUGAUCUCCAGUUCCAUCCAUGUUGUUGCAAAUGACAAGAUCUUCUUUUUCGUGGCUGAAUAGUACUUCCAUUGUGUCAAGCAAGAACAGACAUUCAAUGAAUGAAUACAUUUCUUCAAAGCCCAUAAUCCAAGUGAAUAGCAGGAUUCAUCUAUUCAUUCAAGAUGUUUCCUGGAUUCCAGCUCCAUGAGCCUUCAGCCUGAAACCGGUCACGCUGGGGAGAAAAAGCCAUUGGCUCAUCCAUCUGAAUCCCCAAAGACGCCUCCAUCACAAGCCAAUUGAGAUGCAAAAUGCCAGCUAAGGGGUUACAUCCACAGGGGGAGCAAAGCAGCUGUGAAAAUUAGAACACUAGAGAAAUUUAGAUCACUCGCUAAACCACGCACUAAAAACAUGCUACUGCCCCCCAAAGGGGCAAACAUUUUCAAACGCACGAUGUGUCCAAACCUCCACAGUAGGGCAUACUGUGGCCUUGUCUAAGGAAUUCCAUGUGCUUUAUUUUCACCUAUCAGAAACACCGGCAGGGGGCUGCAGGGAG